rnacentral:rRNA from 1 species
GACGAACGCUGGCGGCGUGCUUAACACAUGCAAGUCGAACGGAAAGGCCCUGCUUGCCGGGUGCUCGAGUGGCGAACGGGUGAGUAACACGUGGGUGAUCUGCCCCUUACUUUGGGAUAAGCCUGGGAAACUGGGUCUAAUACUGGAUAGGACCAUGCUGUAGGUGGUGUGGUGGAAAGAUUAGUUUCGGUAAGGGAUGAGCUCGCGGCCUAUCAGCUUGUUGGUGGGGUAAUGGCCUACCAAGGCGUCGACGGGUAGCCGGCCUGAGAGGGUGGACGGCCACAUUGGGACUGAGAUACGGCCCAGACUCCUACGGGAGGCAGCAGUGGGGAAUAUUGCACAAUGGGCGCAAGCCUAAUGCAGCGACGCCGCGUGGGAGAUGACGGCCUUCGGGUUGUAAACUCCUUUCAGCCAUGACGAAGCCCUUGUGGUGACGGUAGUGGUAGAAGAAGCACCGGCUAACUACGUG